rnacentral:rRNA from 1 species
GUUCGGAUUCACUGGGCGUAAAGGGUGCGUAGGUGGUUGGGCAAGUCUGAUGUGAAAUCUCCGGGCUUAACCCGGAAAUGGCAUUGGAAACUGCCUGGCUAGAGUGUUGGAGGGGGGACUGGAAUUCUCGGUGUAGCAGUGAAAUGCGUAGAUAUCGAGAGGAACACCAGUGGCGAAGGCGAGUCCCUGGACAACGACUGACACUGAGGCACGAAAGCUAGGGGAGCAAACAGG